rnacentral:rRNA from 1 species
UUACCGAGGCCAACGAUCGAGCGGACUUGUCCGUGAAGUGACUGAACGAGGUUCCAGGAAAAGCCACUAAGCUUCAGCUAUAUACGACCGUACCGCAAACCGACACUGGUGCGCGAGAUGAGUAUUCUAAGGCGCUUGAGAGAACUCAGGAGAAGGAACUCGGCAAAUUGACACCGUAACUUCGGAAGAAGGUGUGCCCUAUUAGUGUGUAGUGAACAACGAAGCAUGAAUGGGUUGCAAAAAAUCGGUGGCUGCGACUGUUUAUUAAAAACACAGCACUCUGCAAACACGAAAGUGGACGUAUAGGGUGUGACGCCUGCCCGGUGCUGGAAGAUUAAAUGAUGGGGUGCAAGCUCUUGAUUGAAGUCCCAGUAAACGGCGGCCGUAACAAUAACGGUCCUAAGGUAGCGAAAUUCCUUGUCGGGUAAGUUCCGACCUGCACGAAUGGCGUAACGAUAGCCACACUGUUUCCUCCUGAGACUCAGCGAAGUUGAAAUGUUUGUGAUGAUGCAAUCUCCCCGCGGAAAGACGGAAAGACCCCAUGAACCUUUACUGUAGCUUUGUAUUGGACUUUGAACAGAUCUGUGUAGGAUAGGUGGGAGGCUUUGAAGCAGGGUCGCUAGAUCUUGUGGAGCCAACGUUGAAAUACCACCCUGGUGUGUUUGAGGUUCUAACCUAGGUCCAUUAUCUGGAUCGGGGACAGUGCAUGGUAGGCAGUUUGACUGGGGCGGUCUCCUCCCAAAGCGUAACGGAGGAGUUCGAAGGUACGCUAGUUACGGUCGGACAUCGUGACGAUAGUGCAAUGGCAUAAGCGUGCUUAACUGCGAGACUGACAAGUCGAGCAGAUGCGAAAGCAGGACAUAGUGAUCCGGUGGUUCUGUAUGGAAGGGCCAUCGCUCAACGGAUAAAGGUACUCUGGGGAUAACAGGCUGAUACCGCCCAAGAGUUCAUAUCGACGGCGGUGUUUGGCACCUCGAUGUCGGCUCAUCUCAUCCUGGGGCUGUAGCCGGUCCCAAGGGUAUGGCUGUUCGCCAUUUAAAGAGGUACGUGAGCUGGGUUUAAAACGUCGUGAGACAGUUUGGUCCCUAUCUUCCGUGGGCGCUGCAGAUUUGAGGAAGCCUGCUCCUAGUACGAGAGGACCGGAGUGGACACAUCUCUGGUGUAUCGGUUGUCACGCCAGUGGCAUUGCCGAGUAGCUAAGUGUGGAAGAGAUAACCGCUGAAAGCAUCUAAGCGGGAAACUCGUUUCAAGAUGAGAUCUGCCGGGGCCUUGAGCCCCCUAAAGAGUCGUUCAAGACCAGGACGUU